GACGAACGCUGGCGGCGUGCUUAACACAUGCAAGUCGAACGGUGAAGCGCCUUCCUUUUUGGUGGGUGUGGAUGAGUGGCGAACGGGUGAGUAACACGUUAGUAACCUGCCCCCUUCUUCUGGAUAACCGCAUGAAAGUGUGGCUAAUACGGGAUAUUCUGGGUCUGUCGCAUGAUGGGUCUGGGAAAGAUAUUGUUUCGGUGGGGGAUGGGCUCGCGGCCUAUCAGCUUGUUGGUGGGGUGAUGGCCUACCAAGGCGGUGACGGGUAGCCGGCCUGAGAGGGUGGACGGUCACACUGGGACGGCGACACGGCCCAGACUCCUACGGGCGGCAGCAGUGGGGAAUAUUGCACAAUGGGCGCAAGCCUGAUGCAGCGACGCCGCGUGAGGGAUGGAGGCCUUCGGGUUGUGAACCUCUUUCGCCAGUGAAGCAGGCCUGCCUCGUUUGUGGGUGGGUUGACGGUAGCUGGAUAAGAAGCGCCGGCUAACUACGUG
rnacentral:rRNA from 1 species